GGGCCCGUGAAACCCUCCACAUUCCCCCAUUCUGCCGCCGCCUCUCGCGCAGUCGCUCUCCCCUCGCCGCCCCCUCGCCGCCGCCUCUCUCCCGUGCUCGUCUGCAUCAAGCACGGGUAUCGCCCUCCUCUAUCGCCCUCCCAUUCAGCAGCAUUGCCAUCAACCGCUCAUCCAUCUUCUGCUUCGCCUAGAUCGGCCGCCACCCACGAGACAGGCGGUGUCGAUUUGGGUGCUGCGUCUAGCUUUCACCGAGAUGAUGGCUAAGGGCAAUGACGCCACUGUUGUUUUCCUUGUUUCUUCCCCAUCUCUAGCGGCUUGGCACCGGCUGGUCCACAUCGACUCGGGCGAGACCUACAGACCGGCGGGGAUGAUUCGACGUAGGCGACUUCUUGGCCGACGGGAUGCAACACAUGGUGGCGGUCGCAGCAGGCCGGCAUCAGCGAGUCGAUCUAGCCGACCUUCAAGGAGAGCGGGUCAAAGAGGGCAAGAUGUGGAGCUAAGAGAUGCAGCACAACAGCAGAGUGACAUUGUCAAGGUAGUUAUCAACGUACAUCCAACAUUAAGGCUCCUCCUCAGCUCCAGCCAAAGAGAUACAAUGAUAUCUUCUACCUGAUUGUAGAAGUGUAGAUUGAUGUUUCAGUUCUUAUGUUUGUCGUGUGAUCUCCAUCUCUCCAGCUAUGGAGCUAACUGAAUAAUGGGGAAAUGUGAUUUCAAACAGCACACAGUGUGAGAUUUCCAUUGGGCCAGAGACCAGAGUGUAAUUCACUAUAACCUUGGAUAUGAGCUUAUUUUCUGGAUUUGUUAUUUGCAGUGACUUUACCUAUGGUUUUCUUAAAUGUGUUUUAAAACGGAGCAGAGGAAGCGAUCUCACAUGUCAUUGGCGAGAUAAUUGUUUCAUCAUCAGAAUCGAGGUGGAUCUACGCAAAUCGGAGUAUCUGGUAAAAAAGAACAAUAGAAUUGAGUUGGUGGCAAUGUUGGGAGUAUUUGGAGCAGUUAUAAAGUCAUUCAGUCCCAGUAGGGGCAUUUGCAUGGUUUGAGAGAGCUCUCUUGGUCGGUUUGGGGCUUUAGCUGCAAUUGUGUUGUCUGGGAUCAUAUGGCCCUUUCUAUCCUCGAGGAAGUGUAAGUCCUUGACCAUUUUGCCCCAUCAUAUGAAAAGUAAAUUGUUUAAUCUCAUUUAUUUUAUUUUGAUAUGAUAAUAAACUUGACAUUUUCGCUGUCGUAGAUAGAUUUAUUUAACAAUUAACUGUAUAAAUUCACAUGUUUAUGUCUUCUCAGGAGCUUCUUGUAAGUGAGCUGUAGCUUCCAUACACAGCAUUGCCACACUCAGAAUUUGAGUUAUGGGCUAUGAACACUAAUAGAGAAGUUGAACAAUAGACUUUUUCUCUACAAUAUCAAAGUACCGAAAUUCUUGUUUUCCUGGUUUACAAUAUGAAAGAAAGCUUCCAAAAUCCAUUUAAAUUCUUGUUUUCAAGGUUUCAUUACCGAAGACAUUUAACCAGUUACAAGAGCACUAAAGGCCAUCAUAGCUAGGAAUAUCCCGUAAGGACUUCCUGGUGACAUAAAUUUUCUGGCAAUAACCUUAUGCAUAUUUGUUGCCCGUCAGAUCCAUCGUAGAUACAGAUUGUUUGUAAUUAUUGAUUGAGCUGGUUUUAAUGGUUCAUGAUCUGAUUCUGCUUGUGCUUUUAAGGAAUGGCUAAUUUAUGCCAAAAACUUACACUCUUCAUUCUUCAAGUAAGCGAUAUAGUGAAAAGAAAUACCAGGGCACAUUGGUUUCUUCUCCAGCAAAAGCAAAUUCACCCAGGACCAUAAAGCAUAUCGUGCCAAAAGAAUUUAUCUUGAAUAUGGAGUGAACAUGUCAGGCAGCGUCGUUUUUGGUAAAGGCCAUUGCUCUCAAGGUAGUAGGAAGGAAUUUCAAAGCUAGACGUCCAUUUAUAUGGAAUUCUUUAAAGAAUUGCAAGUUCUUUGAAAUCCUCCAUUUAUAUGGAUUCAGUAUCAGACAUCUCACAAAUUGGGCAAGCAAGGCAUUCAGGUCAGCAUUGGAGGCUUGACUGACUUUGUUGGCUUUGUUUCGCUGUACUGAAUUAACUGUCUACUUUGGCUGGGUGUGACUCUGCUGUAAUAUAAUGUACUAAACAGUUUACGACUCUUUGUCAGGAUAUGUGCUCAAGCUCUUCACAAA